UGGCAGCCUCUGGUUUGAUGUGGACGCUUGGUGACUGUGAAGGAACAGGCUCCAGGGAGAACGUGUUCAACGUUACUGCUUUUAUAGCUCAGUGGAGCAGGUAAAUCUUGGCCAAUUUGUCCUCAGCACAGCCGGAAGCCUCUGAGUUCUCUUUGAUUAUGUGGAGAACACACAGCUGAGGCCAAGAAUAAUCGUAUUUACCCUACAAAAUCAUUAUAACAAAGGCUAGAAGAGAGCAUUGGAGCCCUUGGAGCUAGAGUUAAAAGCAGUU